GAUGAAGAACGUAGCGAAAUGCGAUACUUGGUGUGAAUUGCAGAAUCCCAUGAACCAUCGAGUCUUUGAACGCAAGUUGCGCCCGAAGCCAUUAGGCCGAGGGCACGCCUGCCUGGGCGUCACACGUCGUUGCCCCCCCAUCUACUCCUUCGGGAUUGCGGGGGGCGGAUGAUGGCCUCCCGUGCGCCUCGUCGCGCGGUUGGCAUAAAUGCCAAGUCCUCGGCGACGCACGCCACGACAAUCGGUGGUUGCGAAACCUCGGUUGCCCGUCGUGUGCGGUCGUCGCGCAUCGAGGGCUCGAAAAAAUUGCCGGGCUCCGGCUCGGCUUUCAACGCGACCCCAGGUCAGGCGGGGUUACCCGCUGAAUUUAAGCAUAUCAAUAGCGGAGGA
rnacentral:misc_RNA from 1 species